rnacentral:ncRNA from 5 species
CUGUGCGUGUGACAGCGGCU